rnacentral:lncRNA from 1 species
AACUAAUGCACAGGGGAUGCUUCUGCCUGCAGAUAUUGAUGGACUCCUAAGCCAGGCUCUCCUGCUUGGGGAACUGGGUCCGGCCGUGGAGCUGUGUCUGAAGGAGGAGCGCUUUGCUGAUGCCAUUAUCCUGGCCCAGGCUGGGGGUACAGAUCUGCUGAAGCAAACACAGGAGCGCUACUUGGCCAAGAAGAAAACCAAAAUCUCCUCGCUUCUAGCCUGUGUUGUGCAAAAGAAUUGGAAGGAUGUGGUGUGUACCUGUAGCCUGAAGAACUGGAGAGAGGCACUGGCUUUGCUACUGACAUACUCAGGCACAGAGAAAUUUCCCGAGCUCUGUGGACCUGAUGGAGAAGGUGAUGGUUCUUAACAGGAGCUUGGAGCAACUGCGGGGUCCUCAUGGGGUGAGCCCAGGCCCUGCCACAACCUACAGGGUCACUCAGUAUGCCAACCUCCUGGCAGCCCAGGGCAGCCUGGCCACUGCCAUGAGCUUUCUACCCAGGGACUGUGCUCAG